rnacentral:rRNA from 1 species
UACGGGGGGAGCAAGCGUUGUUCGGAUUUACUGGGCGUAAAGGGCGCGUAGGCGGCCAGUGCAAGUCAGUUGUGAAAUCUCCGAGCUUAACUUGGAAAGGUCAACUGAUACUGCUCGGCUAGAGUGCGGAAGGGGCAACUGGAAUUCUUGGUGUAGCGGUGAAAUGCGUAGAUAUCAAGAGGAACACCUGCGGCGAAGGCGGGUUGCUGGGCCGACACUGACGCUGAUGCGCGAAAGCUAGGGGAGCGAACGGG